AAAAUUUCUUCAAUCUUGGGAGGGGGGUGUUAAAUAUGGAUCAUAAGCUCAUAUGCAUAUAAGGCCAUAGGUAUGCACUUCUAUGUAUAUGGCUUGCCACAUAAGUUCUUUUAUGAUUGGUUAUGAUCGAUUCCUCUCUUAGAUAGUUUCGGUUAUGGUAGUUAUGAUUAUGUUUACUUUAAAUGGUAAUUUGAGUUUCAAAUAACUAUCAAUUUUUAUAUUGUAUAAAUUCUCUAUACUUUGCCUUUGUGUAUAAUCAAUUUCCAAUAAUAGAAAGUUCAAUCUCUUUUACUCUUUCAAUUCCUUUCUCUUCUUUUGUGUUGAACUACUAAGAUUCUAAAAUGGUAUCAGAACAAUGUAAUUAUUUUCUUCUUCUUAAGCAUUUGCAAGUGCAAAUGGGUAUCACACUUCAGCAUAUCAUGCCAAUCAAUCACAGCGGAGAUGGUUCCUUCACCUUGUAUAUACCCUCAGAGAUUUUGAGGAACAAGAAGAAGGAUCUAAAAUGGAUGCAUUCAAGCCAAACAUUUGAGUUGGGAAUUGCAACUCUGACUGAUUUCCAUCAGGAUGGUCAUGAGCAUUUUCAUUUGUUACUUUCUGAUGUUGAUCUUUUCCUUCCAGAAAUUUAUAAAUCACAUUAUCAAAUUUUGCUGAAUCUCUGUGCGAUUUUCUCCUUUCUUUCUAAUCUUGGCCUAGCCCGAGAGAUCACUUCAAUGCCUUCUUGCAUUUCUUUCUUUAUCAAAUACUUUUAUAAUCUUCAUGUUCACUAUUUCUCUCAAUUCUUCUUGAUAUUCUUCACACAUAUAUUGCUCAUUUUUCAUCACAUUCUUCUUUUGUUAUUCUUGAGCAAAACUUGCUCAUAUUUCAUCAUAUCCUUCACUUGUUAUCCUUGAGCAAAAAUUGCUCAUAUUUCACAUAUUAUUUUCCUUUUAUUCUUGAAGCAAAUAUUGUUCAUAAUUUAUCAUAUUCUUCUCUAUUUAUUUUUGAACACAUAUUGUUCAAAUUUUAUCAUAUUCUAGAUUUUUCUUAUUCAUUGGCCAAGAAACCAAUAUGGUAUUUUUGUGCAUUGUUAUUCUCGAACAAGUAUUGUUCAUAUUUUAAUAUAUUCUAGAUUUUUCUCAUUCUUUCGCCAAUAAACCAAGAUGGUAUUCCUGAGCAAUAAUAUCAUUUGUUCUCAUCUGAUCUUCUUUCUAUUGUGUUGAUUUUUGAUAAACAACAUCUUUACUUUCAAUUUCACUAAUAUUCUAUUAAGAAUUCUUCUAUUUCUUCUUUCUUCAUUGAAUAUAUCUACCAGAAAAAUUAAACAAAGUUCAAGAUUUAUGGUUUCAAAUUUGUCUCAAGAGUUUGUGGGUUGUUUGAUGCAUUGAGAAAUAGAGAAAAUAUAAGAGGAUAUUUUCUGUGGUCCUUAUUGGAUGGAUACAAAUGGAAUUUUGGGCUAUAUUAUGUUGUUGAAGUUGUAGAUCUUCUAACAAAGGUUUUGGAGACUUCUCCCUUCAAUCAUCUUUUUUCUAAGUUAGGAGUUCUCACCAUUCACUUUCCAACUAACUUGAGGGAGGGUGUUGACAUAUAUAGUAUCAAUAUAAAUAAUAAUGUAUGCGAAUAUGUGAAAUUAUAUAGUUUGAUUGGUUAUAUCCCAAGUUAUUAUUUUCUAAGAAUAAAAAGAGUUAGUUGGUUAGUUAGUUUUGAUUAUUAAGUUUGUUAGUUUUUCCUUCCUUUUAUGUAAGAUCUUCAUUAUAACUUUGUAGUUCAUCCAUUCAAUAUUGAAUCCAUUCAAUUGAUUCAAAUUCAAUAUAUUCAGUCAUUCAUUGAAAUACACAAUCUUUUUCUUGCUCUUUCAUUUCUAAUACGUUCUCUGUGAGAGCACAUAGCUAUAGGCUUCAACAAACUGACAAAUCUCGUUGUAGAUUGAGAGAGGGUUUCUAGGAUUUGCUUAGGAUUUGUAAGAAAGAUAAAUCAUAAGAGAAAAUAUAAAGUCUUAGAGUGUGUGAGAGGAUUUUAGAUGCUAAGAUGCUUAUAAAGACACUUCAGAAGUAAUGCAUAUAUGCUUCAAUUUUAAUGGAAAGCACAAACUGGUUUUGUUACAUCAACAAACAAAUAAGAAAUUCAAAAUAAAGCAUUUUUGGAAAACACACAACUUGAUGAUGAGGGUGAAAUUAUGCUAAUUUGUAUUGCAUUUAACUUACAUUUUAGGAUAUAAUUAGGACUUUAGGAUUGGUUUUAGCUUUUAUUUCUCUUUGUUUGGGUUGAGCAGUUGUUUUUGGCUAUAUUGUGUAGGUUGGAUGGAUUGAAGGCAAAAAGAGUAGAGAUUGGAUACAAGAAGAUGAAAUUCGGUAUCGAGGCUAUGUGAAGACCAAUUGAAGGGCAAAAAGAAGUCACCUUAGAGCCUGGAUCGAAGAGAAGCAAUUUGAAGUGAAGGUGCCACGAUCCACGACCAGGCUGUGUCUCACACCCAUGGCUAUGGAUGACAAAUUCAAUUCCUAUUUUUUUAGAUUUGUUUUGUUGGGCUUAGCCCAAUUUUUGUAAUUAGGAUAAAUGAGUAUUCCCCC
rnacentral:lncRNA from 1 species